CUUACAUACUAGUACUAUAAGGAAAGAAAAAUUUAGUGUAGUCUUUAAUAUACCUUUUGUCUCAGGGUUUAUUUAAUAAAUAAACAAACUUUCAAUCUCGAAUCUCAUACGAGCUAGCCCGCCCCUGUGUAAUAAGAGGCUGAGUGAAAUAGAAGUGAAACUCUUCGAGUUGAGCAAACUAGUUCUGAUAAAUCAAGAGGGUAAGUCUCUUUUUCACUAAAUUAUACUUUAACAAAAGAAAAUUAACUUUUAAAUUAAGUAAAUUAGUCAUUUUUUAUAAAUAAUUACUUCAAAUUAACCUUAUAGACUGGCCCAGAGCAGCUUUAAAUUAUUUACAGCCAAUUACAAUUAUAAAAUUAUUAUUUAAGUUUGCAUAGGCUAAAGAACUCGAGCUGCCAUUGAAUGUUUAACAAAAACUUUUCUUUUAGGGGGUUAAAGGUACGGCCUGCCCAGUGGAACCUUAACGGCUGCGGUAUUUUGACCGUGCUAAGGUAGCAUAAUCAUUUGGCUUUUAAUUUAAGUCUGGAAUGAACGGCUCAACAAUUGCAGCGUAUCUAGCGUAUAAGUAAAAAUUUAGGCUUUAAGUAAAAACACUUAAAUGAAAGAGAGGGACGAUAAGACCCUAGAAGCUUUAUAAUAGCUCGGCUCUACUUUAUUAUAAAACCAAGCCUAUAUAUUAUUUGACUGGGGCGGUAGUAUUACAUUAACUAGUAGUUUUAAAAACAAUCGGCUUAAAGGUCCUUUAUAUAAGGACAGAUAGACUGAGUUACUCUAGGGGUAACAGCGUAAUGUUUACGGAAAGUCCACAUGUAUGUAAACGAUUGCGACCUCGAUGUUGAAUUAAAAUAUCAUUAUAGUGCAAAAGCUUUAAAUGAGAGUUUGUUCAACUUUUAAAUUUUUACAUGAUUUGAGUUCAAAUCGGUUUAAGCCAGAUUGGUUUCUAUCUUCUCUAAAAAAUAGCGCUCUUCAGUACGAAAGGACCAAGGGC